rnacentral:rRNA from 1 species
CCUACGGGAGGCAGCAGUAAGGAAUAUUGGUCAAUGGACGAAAGUCUGAACCAGCCAUGCCGCGUGAAGGAUGAAGGCCCUCUGGGUUGUAAACUUCUUUUAUCUGGGACGAAAAAAGGGUAUUCUUACUCACUUGACGGUACCAGAGGAAUAAGCACCGGCUAACUCCGUGCCAGCAGCCGCGGUAAUACGGAGGGUGCAAGCGUUAUCCGGAUUCACUGGGUUUAAAGGGAGCGUAGGUGGGCUGAUAAGUCAGUGGUGAAAUCUCCGGGCUUAACCCGGAAACUGCCAUUGAUACUAUCAGUCUUGAAUUAUCUGGAGGUAAGCGGAAUAUGUCAUGUAGCGGUGAAAUGCUUAGAUAUGACAUAGAACACCAAUUGCGAAGGCAGCUUGCUACGGAUUGAUUGACACUGAGGCUCGAAAGCGUGGGGAUCAAACAGGAUUAGAUACCCUGGUAGUCCACGCCCUAAACGAUGGAUACUCGACAUCAGCGAUACACUGUUGGUGUCUGAGCGAAAGCAUUAAGUAUCCCACCUGGAAGUACGACCGCAAGGUUGAAACUCAAAUGAAAUUGACGG